UCGGGGUACUCGCGAAUGCACUCCUAGAUUNAAGUUUGAUCAUGGCUCAGAGCUGAACGCUNGCGGUAGGCCUAACACAUGCAAGUCGAACGGCAGCACAGGAGAGCUUGCUCUCUGGGUGGCGAGUGGCGGACGGGUGAGGAAUACAUCGGAAUCUACUUUUUCGUGGGGGAUAACGUAGGGAAACUUACGCUAAUACCGCAUACGACCUACGGGUGAAAUGCAGGGGGAUCGUUCGGAACNCCAUUUGAGCGACGGAUUGAAUGGAGCCGAUGUACUGGAAUUUAAGCGUAAAGGUUGGACUGAGAGAGGUAACANGUGGACCCCACCAACCC
rnacentral:rRNA from 1 species